rnacentral:rRNA from 1 species
UACAGAGGGGGCAAGCGUUAUUCGGAAUUAUUGGGCGUAAAGGGCGCGUAGGCGGCCAUUCAAGUGACGGGUGAAAGCCCUCGGCUUAACCGAGGAACUGCCUGUCAGACUGGAUGGCUUGAGACCGGGAGAGGUGAGUGGAAUUCCCAGUGUAGCGGUGAAAUGCGUAGAUAUCUGGAGGAGCACCGGUGGCGAAGGCGAGUCCCUGGACAACUUCUGACACUGAGGCACGAAAGCUAGGGGAGCAAACAGG